rnacentral:rRNA from 1 species
GACGAACGCUGGCGGCGUGCUUAACACAUGCAAGUCGAACGGUAAGGCUCCAGCUUGCUGGGGUACACGAGUGGCGAACGGGUGAGUAACACGUGGGUGACCUGCCCUGCACUUCGGGAUAAGCCUGGGAAACUGGGUCUAAUACCGAAUAGGACCGCACCGUGAGGGUGUGGUGGAAAGUUUUUUCGGUGUGGGAUGGGCCCGCGGCCUAUCAGCUUGUUGGUGGGGUAAUGGCCUACCAAGGCGGCGACGGGUAGCCGGCCUGAGAGGGUGGACGGCCACAUUGGGACUGAGACACGGCCCAGACUCCUACGGGAGGCAGCAGUGGGGAAUAUUGCACAAUGGGCGGAAGCCUGAUGCAGCGACGCCGCGUGGGGGAUGACGGCCUUCGGGUUGUAAACUCCUUUCACCAUCGACGAAGGGUUUCUGACGGUAGAUGGAGAAGAAGCACCGGCUAACUACGUGCCAGCAGCCGCGGUAAUACGUAGGGUGCGAGCGUUGUCCGGAAUUACUGGGCGUAAAGAGCUCGUAGGUGGUUUGUCGCGUCGUCUGUGAAAUUCCGGGGCUUAACUCCGGGCGUGCAGGCGAUACGGGCAUAACUUGAGUACUGUAGGGGAGACUGGAAUUCCUGGUGUAGCGGUGAAGUGCGCAGAUAUCAGGAGGAACACCGGUGGCGAAGGCGGGUCUCUGGGCAGUAACUGACGCUGAGGAGCGAAAGCAUGGGGAGCGAACAGG